GGCGAACGGGUGAGUAACGCGUUGGUGACCUGCCUCGAAGUGCGGAAUAACUCCGGGAAACUGGAGCUAAUACCUCAUGUGGUCUGUGGUUUUAGGAACCAUUGACUAAAGGUCUUCGGAUCGCUUCGAGAGGGGCCUGCGUCCCAUCAGCUAGUUGGUAGGGUAAUGGCCUACCAAGGCGACGACGGGUAGGGGGCCUGAGAGGGUGACCCCCCACAAUGGAACUGAAACACGGUCCAUACACCUACGGGUGGCAGCAGUAGGGAAUAUUGCACAAUGGGCGAAAGCCUGAUGCAGCAACGCCGCGUGCGCGAUGAAGGCCUUCGGGUUGUAAAGCGCUUUUCUGAGGGAAGAGGAAGGACGGUACCUCAGGAAUAAGUCUCGGCUAACUACGUGCCAGCAGCCGCGGUAACACGUAGGAGGCAAGCGUUAUCCGGAUUUACUGGGCGUAAAGCGCGUGCAGGCGGUUUGGUAAGUUGGAUGUGAAAGCUCCUGGCUCAACUGGGAGAGGCCGUUCAAUACUGCCAGACUAGAGGACGGUAGAGGAAGGUAGAAUUCC
rnacentral:rRNA from 1 species